rnacentral:rRNA from 1 species
AACGAACGCUGGCGGCAUGCCUAACACAUGCAAGUCGAACGAGACCUUCGGGUCUAGUGGCGAACGGGUGCGUAACGCGUUGGAACCUGCCCUUAGGUUCGGAAUAACUCCCCGAAAGGGGUGCUAAUACCGGAUAAUGUCUUCGGACCAAAGAUUUAUCACCUUUGGAUGGGCCCGCGUUGGAUUAGCUAGUUGGUAGGGUAAAAGCCUACCAAGGCGACGAUCCAUAGCUGGUCUGAGAGGAUGAUCAGCCACACUGGGACUGAGACACGGCCCAGACUCAUACGGGAGGCAGCAGUGGGGAAUAUUGGACAAUGGGCGAAAGCCUGAUCCAGCAAUGCCGCGUGAGUGAUGAAGGCCUUAGGGUUGUAAAGCUCUUUUACCCGGGAUGAUAAUGACAGUACCGGGAGAAUAAGCACCGGCUAACUCCGUG